UACCAAAGGAUAGUAGGAUUCCACUGGGCUGAGGCACCACAAUCCUUGGUGCAAA
rnacentral:tRNA from 1 species